UGGGGAAUAUUGCACAAUGGGGGAAACCCUGAUGCAGCGACGCCGCGUGAACGAAGAAGGUAUUCGUAUCGUAAAGUUCUGUCCUAUGGGAAGAUAAUGACUGUACCAUAGAAGAAAGCUCCGGCUAAAUACGUGCCAGCAGCCGCGGUAAUACGUAUGGAGCGAGCGUUGUCCGGAAUUAUUGGGCGUAAAGGGUACGCAGGCGGUUUAAUAAGUCGAAUGUUAAAGAUCGGGGCUCAACCCCGCAAAGCAUUGGAAACUGAUAAACUUGAGUAGUGGAGAGGAAAGUGGAAUUCCUAGUGUAGUGGUGAAAUACGUAGAUAUUAGGAGGAAUACCAGUAGCGAAGGCGACUUUCUGGACACAAACUGACGCUGAGGUACGAAAGCGUGGGGAGCAAACAGG
rnacentral:rRNA from 1 species